CGGCGCCGUCAGAUUCAAUUCUAGGGAGCGCAUGGCUACGAACCAUGAGGUCGUAAGUUCGAGUCUUACCGGGCAGGCCA
rnacentral:tRNA from 2 species